rnacentral:rRNA from 1 species
GCUAUACAUGCAGUCGAGCGAACAGAUAAGGAGCUUGCUCCUUUGACGUUAGCGGCGGACGGGUGAGUAACACGUGGGUAACCUACCUAUAAGACUGGGAUAACUUCGGGAAACCGGAGCUAAUACCGGAUAAUAUUUCGAACCGCAUGGUUCGAUAGUGAAAGAUGGUUUUGCUAUCACUUAUAGAUGGACCCGCGCCGUAUUAGCUAGUUGGUAAGGUAACGGCUUACCAAGGCGACGAUACGUAGCCGACCUGAGAGGGUGAUCGGCCACACUGGAACUGAGACACGGUCCAGACUCCUACGGGAGGCAGCAGUAGGGAAUCUUCCGCAAUGGGCGAAAGCCUGACGGAGCAACGCCGCGUGAGUGAUGAAGGUCUUCGGAUCGUAAAACUCUGUUAUUAGGGAAGAACAUACGUGUAAGUAACUAUGCACGUCUUGACGGUACCUAAUCAGAAAGCCACGGCUAACUACGUGCCAGCAGCCGCGGUAAUACGUAGGUGGCAAGCGUUAUCCGGAAUUAUUGGGCGUAAAGCGCGCGUAGGCGGUUUUUUAAGUCUGAUGUGAAAGCCCACGGCUCAACCGUGGAGGGUCAUUGGAAACUGGAAAACUUGAGUGCAGAAGAGGAAAGUGGAAUUCCAUGUGUAGCGGUGAAAUGCGCAGAGAUAUGGAGGAACACCAGUGGCGAAGGCGACUUUCUGGUCUGUAACUGACGCUGAUGUGCGAAAGCGUGGGGAUCAAACAGGAUUAGAUACCCUGGUAGUCCACGCCGUAAACGAUGAGUGCUAAGUGUUA